GAAAUGUGAUAAGUAAUGUGAAUUACAGAAUUCAGUGAAUCAUCGAAUCUUUGAACGCACCUUGCGCUCCUUGGUAUUCCUUGGAGCAUGCCUGUUUGAGUAUCAUGAAAUCUUCAAAGUAAAUCUUUUGUUAACUCAAUUGGUUUCUACUUUGGUAUUGGAGGUCUUUGCAGCUUCACACCUGCUCCUCUUUGUUCAUUAGCUGGAUCUCAGUGUUAUGCUUGGUUCCACUCGGCGUGAUAAGUUAUCUAUCGCUGAGGACACUGUAAAAGGUGGCCAAGGUAAAUGCAGAUGAACCGCUUCUAAUAGUCCAUUGACUUGGACAAUACUUUUAUGAUCUGAUCUCAAAUCAGGUAGGACUACCCGCUGAACUUAAGC
rnacentral:misc_RNA from 1 species